ensembl:lncRNA
CCUCAGACAAUUCAUUUCCUAGUGUUAGACAAGAGCCCAGUUUCGGGCCCUGGAAGGGGUCCACCUUCCUGAAACACUUAUAUUGGUUUUUUUUGUUUGUAUUCUUUUUCACUGUUCCAUUGAAAAGUUUUCUUAUUGGUUCAUAUUCUUUUUUCCCAAAAAAAGACAAAAAUUAGUCAAGGGAGAUGUCUUUUUCUAAAAAAGAUUAAAAAAAAAGUCAUCCUAAAUGUACUUCCUACAUAUACUUCUUAAAAAGAAUGAGGUGGCUCUAAAACAUGUCUACAAAUUUUUUGAUACUCUGAAUACAGAGAAGUGGGAUCCAUGACCUUUCUGCUUGAGUCCGGGGCCAAUGGCUGGUCUACUGAUAUGUUUGUGAAGCCAUGUGACCUCCAAGGCUACGUUACAAAAGAUGAUGCCACUUUCACUUUAUUUGCUGGAACUAUGUUGGAAUUUUGAGCCAUCGUGUAAAGUAGUCCUACCAUCCUGUGGCCACCAUGCUGUGAGGAAACCCAACCAGCUCGUGCAGAGACCACAUGAAGAGGGAGAGACAUCUGGCCAGCCUCCUGAUAUAUUGCAAGUUUAUGCUUUUCCAGCUCCUGCCCUGCCUGAGGACAACCACCUGAAAUAUCCCAAGCAAGAAGCCCCCAACCACCACUUCCCCAAAUCUCUGACCCACAGAGACCAUAAUCACUGUUGUUUUAAGUCACUAUAUCUUGGCAGGAUUUACUAGGCUGCAGUAGUAGAGACCACACUGAGCUGCACAGAGAUAUUUGCCAGGAUCUAAGGAAGACAGUCAUGGAUUUCUACAUCUCUUCACAGGAUCAUCAUGUCCCGUGAGAUCAUCGUCUCGCUCAUUAAUAUAAAGCAGUGAUGGCUGAGAACACAGGGCUUCAGAGCCUGACUUUGCUCUGAACUGAAUAGUCACCUGAAAAGGGGCAAAACAAGGAGAUCAAUCCUCCUCCUGGGUUUGACCUACACAAGUCAAUCACGUACUUUCUUUGAGGUCUAGUAU